GAUGAAGAACGUAGCGAAAUGCGAUAAGUAGUGUGAAUUGCAGAAUUCAGUGAAUCAUCGAAUCUUUGAACGCACAUUGCGCCCCUUGGUAUUCCAUGGGGCAUGCCUGUUCGAGCGUCAUUUGUACCUUCAAGCUUUGCUUGGUGUUGGGUGUUUGUCUCGCCUUUGCGUGUAGACUCGCCUUAAAAUAAUUGGCAGCCGGCGUAUUGAUUUCGGAGCGCAGUACAUCUCGCGCUUUGCACUCAUAACGACAGCGUCCAAAAGUACAUUUUACACUCUUGACCUCGGAUCGGGUAGGGAUACCCGCUGAACUUAAGCAUAUCAAUAAGCGGAGGA
rnacentral:misc_RNA from 1 species